rnacentral:lncRNA from 1 species
GUUAGCAUGGCGCCUUGCAGUGUCCGUAUGUCUAUUGCGCGGUUCAAUCUUUCAGGAACUGUCAAGCGAACGACAUGGCCGCGCCCAUAAAGAAUGGAGGCCGUCAUUUUCAAAGAAUGUCCAUUCCGUACAGCCAGGGAAGGUAGAUCUUCAGGACCUGCUGCAAGAGCCCACGCAGCUCUAAAGCCUGAGAAAGAAGAGAGCUGAGGGGCAGGCAGAAGAGAAGUUUGGAGAAGCAAGCCACAGUACAAAGUGUCCCUGUGUUCCCAGAGGAGCGUGCAAGAGGAUGGGCUGCGGAUACCAGGGCUGGUAACGGUGCAGGAGGGAUUGUGGGUCCUGGUACUCUGUGCCUUCUCCAACCUCCCUGAUGGAUGGAAUCACUCGGACUCACACAUCUUCUGGUUCCUGGAAGGGGCCGACAUAUACCAGGAUCCUCCAGUGGCCACAAACAAACUGAGCCAGAAGCUGCAAGAGAGGACCCUGGGCUGCUUCCAUUUCCUUCCAUUUCCCAGACCAAGAGCUGCUCCCUGAGAAUCAGAGAUGCCAGGAAGAAAGAUGACACCCGACAUCCAAGUUCCAGCAGCUCUGGAGUCUGGCCCUCCUGGAAGCCUGGUCUGCUCCAUGCCGGCAGCCUGUAGUUGGAGGAGGCCCACCGUCUUCUCCUGCAUAUGGGACACCCCAGCUAACCUCUCAGAGGUCACCAUCGUCCCACGGCUCUGGAACCACAGCAUCAAUGUGACUACAGAGAUGACCAUCAAGCUCAAUGUCUCAUAUGGCCCCCAGAACCUGACCAUCAGUGUCUUCUGUGAGAAUAAUAAAGAUUGGAGAGAAUAUCUCAUGUCCAAGGCUGUGAUGGAGGGAAGAAGGUGUCUACAACACCUCAGAACAAAGUCUAAAAGUCUUGGAGGUUGAAGCAUAGCAGGCUGAGGUCAGACAAGUGGACUGUAGGCACUCAAAGGCCCCCUAACUCUUCUGUCCCCCGUGAUCAGCCCCCACACUCACAACCACAAAAACAGACCUUCUUCUUGUCAAAUCUUCUGGAGACCUUCCAUCCUCACUUGCCUGGACCUCUUGGAGGGAUCUUUUGUUUUGGCGGCUGACUUCUUCUUGACCUUCCCAGCUCCCUUCCCAAGAGCCAGAUCCAAGCAUCGGAUGUUGCCUUUGAAGACCCCCUCAAGAUCCUACCUCUCCACCCAGCCUCACCUGUCUACUUUUCAAUACUUUUCAUUUAAGUAUUUCCCCCAGGCAAUUUAUUUUGCACAGUCUCAUAUUCAAAAGGUUCAAAAGAGCAUGUGAUAGAAUGUACCUCUCCCAUCUCAGUCCCCCUAGAUUCCUCGUUUCCUUCACUGGAGGCAUCCAUUGUAAACUCUUUCUGUGUUCACUCAGAAAUGCCUUUUGCAUAUAUAAAAAUAUCCGUAUAUUUUCAUGUAGAUAUAAAUAUAGAUUCUGUGUGAACCUGCUUUUUUACACACAAAGCACCCUAUAUACAUUGUUCUGAAUCUUUUUUCUUAAUUAACAAUAAUUCUUAGAGAUCCUCUCAC